GGCUGGCAGUCCGGCAGGCCGAACUUGAGCUGGAUCAGCUGCUUCUCGUCGGCGCAUCUCUUCCGCAUCGCCGUCGACAGUAUCGAUUCAAACCACUGCGGGUAAAAUUGGAUCAGACUGUUCUCCAGAAAUCAGGAUUUGGCAUGAGAUCACAAAUCAUACGUACACGACCAAUCCGCGGGGAUCUGCAGCACAACAUGGAUUGUUCAAUGGAGUUGGCAGUCACAGCAUAUCCACCAACAUUGUAGGCAGCCUGCAAUAUGUGAGUUAUUUGUCAGCCACAUCAUUAUGAACUCCAGCACUCAGGGAUAACUGUAACUAAAAUAUCCUUUUCACCUUGUGAAA